AAUUGUUCCACAAGAUCUAAAAUUAUCAAGAAAGAGUUCAAAAUUUAAGUUAUUAUAGCCAUCUUGGAGUUUUAUCUUCAACUGAUAGUGUGAUUCAAAAUUCAGAUAAUAUUCACUUGACAAAAUGCAGGACAGAUCUAGCGAGUGGGUAACUCCAGUAGAGAACACUUCAAACGUUGCCA